UGUCCCGGAGCCUCCCGGCCUAAUGCCCUGGCAGCAGCCCCUCCCUCCCUCGCUCCUGCCCGAGGCGAUGCUGGGCAAACAGGGCCAGGCCUCGCCCUGUGCUCCCGCCGCGGGGCCGGGCCGCGCUGGGCUCGGGGGCAUCGCAGGAGAGGCCGUGCCACGGCAGGCGGGCGCAGGGCCAUGUGCAUAUAAAGCCCGGGGCAGCAGCCCGGCAGGCUUGUUCAGCACAACCACACCUCGGCUCACCUGGCAGCACAGCCAGGCGCUGAUCCCCGGAGUACCCGAGCGUGGGAGUGAUCUGCCCAUGGGCCCCCGCCGGCUGCUGCUUCUGGCGCUGCUUCAGGCAGUUUGGAAAGGCGCCCUGGGAAAGUCCCAUUCACUGCACACUCGAGGAAUCAUUGAACUGGCUGGAGCCAUAACGUGUGGCACGGGACGGUCUCCCUUGGCAUAUAUUGGCUAUGGGUGCUACUGUGGACUGGGAGGACGAGGCUGGCCUAAAGAUAAAACAGACUGGUGCUGCCACAGGCAUGACUGCUGCUAUGACACGGCAGAGAAGGAAGGCUGCAACCCCAAGGUGCAGCGCUACCAGUGGGCGUGUGAGCAGAACACCGUGCGGUGUGGGUUGAUCCAUCAAAGUCCAAUGAAGUCUGGAAAAAUUCCUAUACUCAUUCCAGUUGGUUUUGGAGUGAAGCCUAUGUGCACUGGCACAUUAAACUUUGCCUAGUGCAGGGUUCUGUGGCAGUUAGAUAAUCCAUGGUAGCAGCCUCAAAGAAGCAAGAUAACCUGACAGACCGAUGUGAAAAAAUGGUGUGCUUGUGUGACCAAGAAGCAGCCAAGUGCUGGGGAGCAGCCCCAUACAAUCCUCACUUCAUCCUCUGGCCAGACUUUUUAUGUGGACAGACGCAUCCCACCUGCCAUGUCAGAUAUGGAGGGCCAGAAUAGUCUUUUUAGGACCUUUCUUCAAACAAUUUGAACUUGAAGUAGUGGAAUAAAAAUUUUCCUCGUUUUCCAGAUCUAACAA